rnacentral:misc_RNA from 1 species
GCAUGAUAAUGUGAAAAGAAGUUGAUGUAAUUCUGCAUUAACAGAUCUGUGUAGUCUGAAUGUUGCAAAGAAUGACCUGACCAGUAGGUUGUUAAUGCUUCAACAUUACACAAAUAGCUCAAUCAUAUAUUCCAUUGAAUUAUCAUGAGUCACCAGAGAAUUAAAUUACAUAGAACAGUCCAAUCCAAAAGCAGACCCACAAAUGUAUCCAAGUGAAAUAGUUCAAAAGGAAAAGUUAUGGCUUACAGUGGACUUUCCAGCUUUAACUUUUCAAGCCUUUUUU